rnacentral:rRNA from 1 species
UACGAAGGGGGCUAGCGUUGCUCGGAAUCACUGGGCGUAAAGCGCACGUAGGCGGCUUGUUAAGUCAGGGGUGAAAUCCUGGAGCUCAACUCCAGAACUGCCUUUGAUACUGGCGAGCUUGAGUUCGGGAGAGGUGAGUGGAACUGCGAGUGUAGAGGUGAAAUUCGUAGAUAUUCGCAAGAACACCAGUGGCGAAGGCGGCUCACUGGUCCAUUACUGACGCUGAGGUGCGAAAGCGUGGGGAGCAAACAGG